rnacentral:rRNA from 1 species
UACCCGCUGAACUUAAGCAUAUCAAUAAGCGGAGGAAAAGAAACUAACAAGGAUUCCCCUAGUAACUGCGAGUGAAGCGGGAAGAGCUCAAAUUUAAAAUCUGGCAGUUCCAUGAGCUGUCCGAGUUGUAAUCUAGAGAAGUGCUUUCCGUGCUGGACCGUGUACAAGUCUCUUGGAAUGGAGCGUCAUAGAGGGUGAGAAUCCCGUCUUUGACACGGACUACCAGUGCUUCUGUGAUGCACUCUCGAAGAGUCGAGUUGUUUGGGAAUGCAGCUCAAAAUGGGUGGUAAAUUCCA